rnacentral:rRNA from 1 species
UACGUAGGGGGCAAGCGUUGUCCGGAAUUAUUGGGCGUAAAGAGCGUGUAGGCGGUCCGGUAAGUCCGCUGUGAAAGUCCAGGGCUCAACCCUGGAAUGCCGGUGGAUACUGCCGGGCUAGAGUCCGGAAGAGGCGAGUGGAAUUCCUGGUGUAGCGGUGGAAUGCGCAGAUAUCAGGAGGAACACCAACGGCGAAGGCAGCUCGCUGGGACGGUACUGACGCUGAGGCGCGAAAGCGUGGGGAGCGAACAGG